UUUUUUUUUUUAUUAUCCCGACACAUCGGGUUCGAUGUAUUCAUUUACACCGACACUUAUUGUAAAUAAUUGUUGCUGCAAGUACAAUUUCUCGUACGCGAUCUGCUCAGUGUCUUGCGCACAAUAAUAACUACGGGUCGGUUUACGUCAUAUCACCACCGUACGUUGGCAUUUCAUUUGGUUUUUUAUCUGGCCACCGCAUAUUGCUGUUUGACGUUUUGCUGGCAUCUGAUCGCCAUACGCCGAAUUCUGUAAAAAAAUUAAAACGUCGGCACUUGGCGUCGAGCCACACUCUGAGCUUUUAGACGUCGUGUGUUUAUUAUUAUUAUCAUAUUUUAUUUUCAUUAUCAUUCUAAAUCACGCGAAAAGUACUGACAUCCGCUUCUUCGACAUAAAUAGUGUGUAUAAGUUUGAUGAACUGCCGGACCCGCGGGGCCGCAAAGGUUUACACGGUAAUAGAGAAAAAACGAAAUAAUAACAAUUUGGAAAGCGUGCAAUAUAACUCUGGUGUGAGUUUUUGAUAUUGUAGUCAGCACUGAGACUUGUGCGUUAAAGAUUUACGCUACGUGUAGUGGAGGAGUUGGUUAACCGUAAAAAAUGAUAAAAAUCAAUUAUUAGACUGUCAAGCGCAGGAUGAAUUAAUGCUACAAAAAAAGAAAACAGAAAAAAAUGUUUUAUAACAUUAUUUGGAUUCAAGAUUCAACGUGUCUUAGGUCACGUAGCACAAAAUUCAUAUUGAUUUAUUCAUUAUAAAUGAAGCGCUCCAUACAAUAACAUUUAAGUUCAGAAAAGAUAUUUAUUGGAUAAAUAAUUAACAUUGAUAAUUAUUGUAUUGGCGAAUAAUUAUCGUUAACUGUCAAACUAAAGUAAAAUUAAAGUUUUAUAACACAGAUUAUGCACAUGAGAUAUUUUGAGGAUAAAUAAAAAUCGAAGGUCUAUGAAAAUUUACCAAUUGAAUCGAAUAGGAAGUAGCGCAAAAUGACGGAUUUUUUGUUAGCUUGUGUUCCUAGUUUAGUGUUAAAAUAUAUUUAGCUUAAAAUUAAAUUUCCAAAACUAGCUCUUUACGUAAAAAAAUAUUUUUUUUAAGAAAACACUUUCCUUUGGGACUUUAAAAUGGAAAAUUCGUUCAAUUCAAUACAAGGUUAUGAAAAACUUUUUCUCUUCAACUAUUUGAAUACGCUAUUGGAUAUAAUAACUUAUCCCAAGAAGUAUAAAAAUGAAAAAGUUGUCUCUUUUCUUUGUGAAGCCUAAAAACAAAAAUGUCGUGAAACAGAAUUUACAUAAUAGGCGUGUCAACAUAUAUUCGUGGUACAUUUCCAUGACACUAUUUAUUACCCAAAAGUUAUGGAGGUACCUUUUGGAAAUGAUAUAAUACUUUUGCCUUCGUUAGAUCAACGCGAAUCAGGAAGCUGCAUUUCCUUCCGGACAAAAGACGACAGCGAUAUUACUUACAAAAGAUCUUCAUCAAAAAAUAUAAUACACAACAAAAUACGUUUAAAAUUAACUUUCAUUAAAAUUAAAAAAUACGUUGUAGAACUUCUUAUGAUAUUGACGCAGUGAUAAGUUAACCUUGAAAAAAGAAAACGCCCUUCUACAAUCAUAGAAAAAUAAUUAUGUCACAGUUCAGAAUGUUCUUAUUGCUUUGAAAAAAUAAUGAGUAGGUUAUAUCUAGUUUCAUUUACAAAAUCCAAACGUUCAACUGAGCUCGUUUCUUUUACUUUAUGUUUAUCAAGACUACGCAAUUUUAACAAAAGCUUUGCUAAAAGUCUAAAAAUUAAUUUGUUUUAAAUAUUAUAAUUAUUUUGAAUAAUUCCCAAUGUUAAUUUUUUUAA